rnacentral:rRNA from 1 species
UACGAAGGGGGCUAGCGUUGUUCGGAAUUACUGGGCGUAAAGGGCGCGUAGGCGGCUUAGCAAGUCAGGUGUGAAACCUCCAGGCUUAACCUGGAGACGCCACUUGAGACUGCUAUGGCUAGAGUGCGGUAGGGGACCAUGGAAUCUCCGGUGUAGCGGUGAAAUGCGCAGAUAUCAGGAAGAACACCCGUGGCGAAAGCGGCUCUCUGGAACGGUACUGACGCUGAGACGCGAAAGCGUGGGGAGCGAACAGG